rnacentral:lncRNA from 1 species
CCCCACUCCCCUACCCCACCCCGAGUCUCCUCUGAGGCUUCCUUGCCCUUGAACCAGCAAGUGGAAGUGUGGCCCAUUUGAAUGGAUGACGGUGAUACGCUGCUGGAAGCGAGGGCGAUGGGUCUGCUCAGCGGUGGGCAAAGCGCUAGGGGUGUUGGAGGACAGGGUUCAAAUGCCCAGCUCAGUUGUGAAAUCUUGGCAAAACUUUGGGCAAGUCACUGGUCUGCUCUGCAGCUCAGCCUCCACAGGGGCAAACAGCAAGAGGCUGGAGAGGCGCUCUGUGGCCCCGCCCCAUCAGGUCAAGGAGCAUGCGCCAACAGCUCCGCAGGGUUGAGCAAGGCGAGGCUCACUCAAUGAAUGAGAGAAGGCAGCCUGGCUCUCAGGGGACUCACAGGCCGUCUGGAUAGGAGCGAAGAGUGUCCACAGUAUGGUGCGACAGAACACAGCACAGGAUCAGGAGCCAUAGUGAGCAGCCAGACACUCCGUGCUCGUGCAGGGGUAGGGGUGGUGGCGGCAGGCUGGAGUCCUCUGCGCCAGCUUCUUGCAAGAGGGUCCGCUUGUGGCCCCACGUAAGUGAGGCUCGUUGGGGAGCAGCCCGGGAGGCAUUCCGGAGGCUGGGGAAGCAGGACAAGCGCCAGCACAGUCUGAGGCAGGACCAGCAUGGCAGUCAGGAACGGCCGUGGGGGGAACUAGGCACACUGGGGGCCAGAGACAGGGGUGGGCACAGAUAAUGGGGUCUUAACGCAGGCUGAGGCCUCUGAGCCGAGAAGUCCAGUUAAGGCAGGAUAGCUAAGGGCUCACAUGAACUCGGCAGCCAGGACACAUGGUCAAGACAGGAAGUAGCUGCAGACCCCUCCUCCUUUUGUCCCCUCUUCCCUGGGCAGCCUCCUGGUGCCUAGUGACAGCUUGGGCUCCAGGCCUCGUGGUCGUUUUCCUCAGAAAGUCCAACUUCCCGUCUCCUCCCUCCUUUUAUCACCCUUCUCCCUUGGGAUCCCCAGGGCUCAGUUCCACCGCAGGACCAGGGCAGGGAGGUCCAGGGACAUGUGGGGUCUUGAGCAGACCAGAGUGUCUGUUCAUUUUAGGGAGGUGGGACAAUCACAUUACCUGAACAGGAUGCUCCGAAGACUGAACACAGCUAGGGAGAGCUAGGUGAUAACCAGCUGGGAAGACCUGCGAUGGGAAUUCAACACCCAGAGGGAUAUGUACAGUUGCACGCCACAUAAUGACCUUUUGGUCAAUGAUGGACCUCAUAUGGGCUGGUGGUCCCAUAAGAUGAGUAUAGCCUGGGUAUGUAGUAGGCUCUACCAUCUAGGUGUGUGUAAGAGUUCUUUUUGAUAUUCUCCCAACGAUGAGAUCACCUAAGGACGCAUUUCUCAGAACGUGGCCCCGUCAUUAAGUGACACAUGGCUGUAUGUGGUCAGAGUGCAGCACGGCAAGCAGACCUCAGAUAAACUAGUCUUUUAAAUGGCAUCAAACCAAGUUAAAAAAAUAUUUUUUUCUUUGUUAGUUAUCAAAGUUUUUAUACAGAUUUUAUAUAAAUAGUCUCUCUACAUUUUUACAUGAACCUUUUAUUUUAGGAUAGUUUUAGAUUUUAGAAAAGUUAUGAAGACAUUGCAGAGUUCCCAGAUACCCCACACCCAGUUUCCCCUAUUAGUAAUCUCUUACAUUAGUAUGGUGCAUUUGUCACAAUUAACAAACCAAUAAUGAUGUAUUAUUAUUGACUGAAGUCCAUACUUCAUUCAUAUUUCCUUAGCUUUCACCUAAUGUCCUUUUUCUGUUCCAGGAUCCCAUCCAGGACACCUCGUUACAUUUAGUCAUCACAUCUCUUUAGGCUCCUCUUGGCUGUGACAGUUUCUCAGUAGUUCCUUAUCUUUGAAGACUUUGACAGCUUUGGGGAGGGCCGGUCAGGGAUUAGUAAUGUCCCUCACUCAAGAGUUGUUUGGUGUUUCUUCUCAUGGGCUUAGGGUUUUGGGGGAGGAAGACCAGAGUGGUCAAGUGUCCUUCUCAUCGCAUCAUGUCAAGGGCACAUGCCAUCAACGUGACUUAUGACUGUUGAUGUUGACCUUGGUCACCAGACUGGUGGGUGGCUGUCAGGUUCUCCACUGUAAAGUGACUCUUUCCCCCCAUCCAUGCUGUCCUCUUUGGAGGAAAGUUACUGUGCACAGCCCACACUGAAGGGGCGGGAGUGACGCUGCCCCUCCGUGAGGGCAGAGAUCUACAUCAACUAUUUGGAAUUCCUCUGCAUGGGAGAUGUGCCUAUUUCCCCCACUAUUUUAUUUAUUCAAUCGUUUAUUAUAUCGGUAUGGAGUCAUGGAUAUUUAUUUUAUACUUUGGGUUUUAAUUCCAUACCACUUAAUUUUCUUGCUCAGGUUGUUCCAAUUUUGGCUGUUUUGUUCCUCCACACAUUUUUACACACACGUUGUUACAAUGAAAGGAUUUGUCAUCUUUUCGCCCACUCAUGUAUUCCUCCACCCGACACUGACUGAGCACCUUUGAGGAGUGAGAACUGAAGAUACAGAGAUGAGGCUGACUCCUCACUCUGCUUUCUCCCCCUAACUGAUCUGCUCCCUCCUGCCUUCCCCUCUGAUACUCCUUGCUCAGUGCUCUCUUUCUCCCAUCCCUCCUGGCCCCACUUUUCCCAGGGACCAUUCUUAUAGCUCCUGGAAUGGAAACUCUGUCCCCCGCUCAAACACUCCCAGGGCGAAAACACAUCAUUGACCCAUCAUGCCUGGGAGUGGGGUCCCUGUCUUGCCUGAGGCCCAGAGGGAGUCAGGUCUCUGGUCAGGCCUUCUUGGCCCUCUGACCAUUCACAGGCAGUGCACAGAGAGAAAGAAAGGAGGAACAGCCUCUUAUUUCCCCACAGUUUCUUCUUGGACAUUCUCCGAGCUUUCCCCAGCAACAAUGAAGGACUGUGAGAGAGGGAAAGGUGUGGAGUGAUGGAGAUGGGGAGAAGUUGGGCAAAGAGAACAACUGAGACAGGGCUGAGGUCUCCAGGCCCAGAGACAGACCCUGCAGCUGGUGGCCCCCCAUGCAGGCCUGGCUGCCCCUCCCUCCCCUCUGCCCACACAGCCCGCCGCUCAGGCCAAUGGCUUCCCCAGUCAAGGUGUUGCUCUUUCUCAGUUCUUCCAACUGAGAGAGGCUGGGAAACUGAGGCAGAAUCAGGCCCAGCUUCUGGUUUUCUCUCCCCAGAGGGCUCCCCUUUUCUCCACUCCUCCAUUGUCAAAAACAGGCUGGGGAUGACAUGGCUUGGGGAGCCCCACACCUGCUCCUGCCACCUGUCCUCCUGGUGCUCCUGGCCUCAGGUGAGAUGGAGGGGGUGAAGGAGAGGGUGGGGCAGGGAGCAGGGUGACUCUGUGACCAGAGGGCUGGCUUUGAAGACCGUGUUCUGGAUGUGGGCAUCAGAAGUUGCUCCCUGUCCCCUUUCCCUGGCCCUGGGAGAGGUGUGGCUGGGUCCGGCCAGGGCCCUGAACUGAGAGCUUGUUAUCCAGGUUCCUGGGGAAAGACAGUCAUGCCUGAAGAGUUUCAUGAAGUGGCGGGGCAGACACUCUCCGUGCAGUGGCAGUACCCUCUCGAGGGAGGGCCCUACAACAGGAGAACUCGGUGUCAGCAGACAUCUUCACAUGAGUGUACCUGAUCAGUCACCAGCUCCAAGCUCCCGACAGCAGCUCAGGACUCUUGACACAUGAUCUGGGAUGCAUUGGGUGCUGGCCUCUUCAUCAUCACCAUGAUUCAGCGGACGGAGGAGGACUUCGGGUCCUAAUGGUCUAGAAGCUACAACUCUUCCAGGAACUUGGUCACUAUUCUCAGAAACAUCAGCCUGGUCUUGUCUCCGGAAGAGCUCCUUUCUUAAGGAAAUGCCCCCUCCCUCCCAGGCCUGCGGGAAAUGUCACUCACCCACUUUGUGUGACUCCAUCACCCCAGAUCCUACCAGGUCUUCUGCUCUGAUCCAAGGGGAGCGGGGGCCCUGGUCUCCAGAGAUGGGCUCUCACCUCUUCUCCACUUUGCCAGUCCUGGCCCCAACUAGUAGGAAGCCCCAACCACUUUCCUGUGUGGACCCCCACCUCACUCCUACCAAGUACAGUUCUGAUCAUUUCUCCAGAGGGGACCUCUGGCCCAUCUUCCCUCAAUGGCUCUGAGCACAGGAACAGGAUGAGCACAGGUGGGAAACACACCUACAAGGCAUCCGUCCCAGCUGAGAGAAGAAGGGAACAAUCAAAGACCCUGGAGUCCAUCAUGCCUGAAGGAAACCCCCUGC